rnacentral:rRNA from 1 species
CCUACGGGGGGCUGCAGUGGGGAAUAUUGGACAAUGGGGGCAACCCUGAUCCAGCCAUGCCGCGUGUGUGAAGAAGGCCCUCGGGUUGUAAAGCACUUUCAGUGAGGAAGAACGCCUGGUGGUUAAACCCAUCAGGAAAGACAUCACUCACAGAAGAAGCACCGGCUAACUCCGUGCCAGCAGCCGCGGUAAUACGGAGGGUGCGAGCGUUAAUCGGAAUUACUGGGCGUAAAGCGCGCGUAGGUGGCUUGAUAAGCCGGUUGUGAAAGCCCCGGGCUCAACCUGGGGACGGCAUCCGGAACUGUCAAGCUAGAGUGCAGGAGAGGAAGGUAGAAUUCCCGGUGUAGCGGUGAAAUGCGUAGAGAUCGGGAGGAAUACCAGUGGCGAAGGCGGCCUUCUGGACUGACACUGACACUGAGGUGCGAAAGCGUGGGUAGAAAACAGGAUUAGAUACCCUAGUAGUC